GUGGAGGCGGCGGAGGGUGGUGGUGAAGCGCUAGUCGUUAGCUUCCCCUCAACCCAUUGCGCUUGGCUAAAGUCUCUACUUUUUGUACGACAACUAAGACCAACGCCUGCCGCACCCUGGUGCCCAUGCCCAAGACCAAAGCACCUCAUCACACUG